UCCGGCUUGUCACCGGCGGUCUCGCCAGAGUGCCCAGCAUAACCUGAUGGCAACAGACGAUAAGGGUUGCGCUCGUUGCGGGACUUAACCCAACAUCUCACGACACGAGCUGACGACAGCCAUGCAACACCUGUCACUCUCCCAGCCGAACUGAAAACCGGCAUCUCUGCCAGUCCAAGAGAGGAUGUCAAGGGUAGGUAAGGUUCUUCGCGUUGCUUCGAAUUAAACAACAUGCUCCACCGCUUGUGCGGGUCCCCGUCAAUUCCUUUGAGUUUUAACCUUGCGGCCGUACUCCCCAGGCGGUGUGCUUAAUGGUUUCCCUCCGUCGCCGAAACCUUAAGAUCCCGACAACUAGCACACAUCGUUUACGGCGUGGACUAC
rnacentral:misc_RNA from 1 species